rnacentral:rRNA from 1 species
ACGGAGUAGACAACAGGGAUUGCCCCAGUAACGGCGAGUGAAGCGGCAACAGCUCAAAUUUGAAAUCUGGCCUCCGGGUCCGAGUUGUAAUUUGUAGAGGAUGCUUUUGGCGAGGUGCCUUCCGAGUUCCCUGGAACGGGACGCCAUAGAGGGUGAGAGCCCCGUCUGGUCGGACACCGAGCCUCUGUAAAGCUCCUUCGACGAGUCGAGUAGUUUGGGAAUGCUGCUCAAAAUGGGAGGUAUAUGUCUUCUAAAGCUAAAUAUUGGCCAGAGACCGAUAGCGCACAAGUAGAGUGAUCGAAAGAUGAAAAGCACUUUGAAAAGAGGGUUAAAAAGUACGUGAAAUUGUUGAAAGGGAAGCGCCUAUGACCAGACUUGGGCCCGGUGAAUCAUCCAGCGUUCUCGCUGGUGCACUUUGCCGGGCACAGGCCAGCAUCAGUUUGGCGCGGGGGAUAAAGGUUUUGGGAAUGUGGCUCCCUCGGGAGUGUUAUAGCCCAUUGCGUAAUACCCUGCGCCGGACUGAGGUACGCGCAUCGCAAGGAUGCUGGCGUAAUGGUCAUCAGCGACCCGUCUUGAAACACGGACCAAGGAGUCGUCUUCGUAUGCGAGUGUUCGGGUGUCAAACCCCUACGCGUAAUGAAAGUGAACGCAGGUGAGAGCUUCGGCGCAUCAUCGACCGAUCCUGAUGUUCUCGGAUGGAUUUGAGUAAGAGCAUACGGGGCCGGACCCGAAAGAAGGUGAACUAUGCCUGUAUAGGGUGAAGCCAGAGGAAACUCUGGUGGAGGCUCGCAGCGGUUCUGACGUGCGAAUCGAUCGUCAAAUAUGGGCAUGGGGGCGAAAGACUAAUCGAACCUUCUAGUAGCUGGUUUCCGCCGAAGUCCCCCUUCAGGAAA